GGCCUCGCCUCUCCACUCCCCUCCGAGGCCGACGCCGCCGGCGCUCCAGCUUCCCGCCGACUCGGGCCGCCUGUUGCGCGCGCCCCGGGGCCCCGGAGGCCGCGGGAGGAGUCCCGCCCAGGGCGGCCCGGCGGCGCGGGGGAGACACCCGCGCCGGCUCCAACGCUGAAGUUGCAGCAGACUCGGAGGGGACUGUCGGGGGCCCUGGGGGCUCCAGGGGACCAAGGAAGCGCCGCGCGGCCCCGAGCCCCCUCCCUCCAGCCCGGCUCCUCAGUUUUCCCCCUUCAAAAUUAGCCAGGCUCGACUGGCCGCAGCGGCUCAGGGCUGCGGGUCCGACGCCGUCUGAGCUGCCUGGUAGACGGGAGGAUGAGUCUGGAUCGCACUUGGGGCGAAGACUUGAAGGACCGUGGGGGUGCAGCCUCUCAAGCACUGCCUGGCCCGCCGCGGCGCACCCGCACAGGCGCUGGCGAACGCGCUCUCUGUUCACCUGGCAUGCGCAAAGACCUCCCUCCAGCUCUCCCGGCUCGCUGCAGAGGGAGACCCCGCCUGGAACGCGCCCUCCGAGGUCGGAGGGGGGGGCACGCUGACCUUUUCAAGAAAAAGGAAAGGAGAAGGCGCCCCCGAGGUGGUCAUUCUUCCGGCUCUUGGCCGAUUGGGAGUGGCGGGGACUGGCUCCCGAAUUUACAAUAUUUGGAAGAGUACGCCUGCCUUCUGAGUGAGUCGUCUCGGAUAUUUGGGAGUCUUGGAGACAAACGUGCUCUUCACUAAGGAGAUGGCAUCGAGUUCCCUGCUUCCAGCUCACUGUUCACACUCCAGGUGCCCCUCCUUUCCAAGCAGAGCACCCCAAGUACUUCCAGCUAUACCAAACCACUUUUAUGGAAGCCAGGCUCUGAGGGAAGCAGAAGACUGUGCCUUUACUUUCUUUCUUUCACAUCACUCUCAAGCUCGAAGUAAUAGUUACACCUCCCCUCCAAAAUAAAGCUCUUCCAUCCUCCCA
rnacentral:lncRNA from 12 species